UACGUAGGGGGCGAGCGUUAUCCAGAUUUACUGGGCGUAAAGCGCGUGUAGGCGGCUGGUUAGGUGUGAUGUGAAAUCCUCGGGCUCAACCCGAGAACUGCAUUGCAAACCGGCCUGGCUAGAGUGCAGGAGAGGGAAGCGGAAUUCCAGGUGUAGCGGUGAAAUGCGUAGAUAUUGGGAGGAACACCAGUGGCGAAGGCGGCUCACUGGACCGGAACUGACGCUGAGGCGCGAAAGCGUGGGGAGCAAACAGG
rnacentral:rRNA from 1 species